GGGAUAAGUGCUGAAAGCAUCUAAGCAUGAAGCCCCCCUCAAGAUGAGAUUUCCCAACUUCGGUUAUAAGAUCCCUCAAAGAUGAUGAGGUUAAUAGGUUCGAGGUGGAAGCAUGGUGACAUGUGGAGCUGACGAAUACUAAUCGAUCGAAGACUUAAUCAAAA
rnacentral:rRNA from 1 species